CUGGUAGGAGCGGCAUCCUCCCGACGCAAGGUGGGAGACCUCCCUUCACCGGAAGGCAAGUACAGCGGAUAGCAGGAAAAAGC
rnacentral:misc_RNA from 1 species